AUUCAGUUGACGAGUCCUAAACAGGACGAAACGC
rnacentral:hammerhead_ribozyme from 1 species